rnacentral:rRNA from 1 species
AUAUCACCGAAGCUGUGACUUCAUAUUAAUAUGAGGGGUAGGGGAGCAUUGUAACUGCGUCGAAGGUGUACCUGCGAGGGAUGCUGGAGCGGUUACAAACGAAAAUGUAGGCAUAAGUAACGAUAAUGCGGGCGAGAAACCCGCACGCCGAAAGACCAAGGUUUCCCCAGCUAUGCUAAUCAGCUGGGGGUCAGUCGGGACCUAACGCGAACCCGAAGGGGAUAGUGGAUGGACAACAGAUUAAUAUUUCUGUACCUGCUCACGCUAAAAGUGACGGAGGCGAGAAGUUGGUGCGUACAGACGGAAUUGUACGUUGAAGGGAGCGGUAACGCCCCGAUAGUACACCGAGACCACGGUCAAGGUGAUAAUCCAGCAUAUCGACUUCCAAGAAAAGCAAGUGAAGCAGCCCGUACCGUAAACCGACACAGGUGGUUGGGAUGAGUAUUCUAAGGCGCUCGAGAGAUUCAUGGCUAAGGAACUAGGCAAAAUAGACCCGUAACUUCGGGGAGAAGGGUCGCCCCCUUAUGGGGGGCCGCAGUGAAGAGGUCCAGGCGACUGUUUAUCAAAAACACAGGGCUCUGCAAAAUCGAAAGAUGAAGUAUAGGGCCUGACACCUGCCCGGUGCUGGAAGGUUAAGAGGAGAUGUCAUUCCUUCGGGGAGAAGCAUUGAAUUGAAGCCCCAGUAAACGGCGGCCGUAACUAUAACGGUCCUAAGGUAGCGAAAUUCCUUGUCGGGUAAGUUCCGACCUGCACGAAUGGUGCAACGAUCUGGACACUGUCUCGGCCAUGAGCUCGGUGAAAUUGUAGUAUCGGUGAAGAUGCCGGUUACCCGCAGUGGGACGAAAAGACCCCGUGCACCUUUACUAUAGCUUCGUAUUGACCUUGGUCAAGCAAUGUGUAGGAUAGCUGGGAGACUUUGAAGCUGCAUCGCUAGGUGUGGUGGAGUCAUUGUUGAAAUACCAGCCUUUGCUUGUCCGGGGCCUAACUCUCGAUGAGAGAACAGUGCGUGGUGGGUAGUUUGACUGGGGUGGUCGCCUCCAAAAGAGUAACGGAGGCUUCUAAAGGUGCCCUCAAUACGGUUGGCAAUCGUGUGUAGAGUGCAAUGGCACAAGGGCGCUUGACUGAGAGACAUACAGGUCGAUCAGGUUGGAAACAAGAGCAUAGUGAUCCGGUGGUUCCGCAUGGAAGGGCCAUCGCUCAAAGGAUAAAAGGUACGCCGGGGAUAACAGGCUGU